GGCUAGAUAGCUCACUCGGAAGAGCACCAGAACGACAAUCUGGAGGUCGCAGGUUCAAACCCUGCUCAAGUCA